rnacentral:lncRNA from 1 species
UUGUUGAAGACAUUUCCUGUCUCUUUCUGGGUGGGGGGAUUAUGUACCUGCUUUAUUGAGGACAGACUCACAUAUGACUGGUUUGGGCCAAUGAAAAUUUAGCAGAGGUGACCUGUGCCACUUCUAAGCAGAAGCUUUGAGAACCACUGUGUCAUUCCACCAUUUUCUCUUUUUCUAUGCCCUGAGCCCAGUAAUGCCCCAGGUCAUAGACACGCUGAUAGCCCAGGUCCCAAAGUUAAUAGCACUUGGAGCAAAGCAGUACCCCCACCACAACAGAACAGUUAAGUGAGCAAGAACUAAAUCUCGAAACCCCUGAG